rnacentral:rRNA from 1 species
CCUACGGGUGGCUGCAGUGGGGAAUAUUGGACAAUGGGGGCAACCCUGAUCCAGCCAUGCCGCGUGUGUGAAGAAGGCCCUCGGGUUGUAAAGCACUUUCAGUGAGGAAGAACGCCUGGUGGUUAAUACCCAUCAGGAAAGACAUCACUCACAGAAGAAGCACCGGCUAACUCCGUGCCAGCAGCCGCGGUAAUAUGGAGGGUGCGAGCGUUAAUCGGAAUUACUGGGCGUAAAGCGCGCGUAGGUGGCUUGAUAAGCCGGUUGUGAAAGCCCCGGGCUCAACCUGGGAACGGCAUCCGGAACUGUCAAGCUAGAGUGCAGGAGAGGAAGGUAGAAUUCCCGGUGUAGCGGUGAAAUGCGUAGAGAUCGGGAGGAAUACCAGUGGCGAAGGCGGCCUUCUGGACUGACACUGACACUGAGGUGCGAAAGCGUGGGUAGCAAACAGGAUUAGAUACCCUAGUAGUC